rfam:Geosporobacter ferrireducens strain IRF9, complete genome.
AAAUUUGUUUUCAUGGGUGGUGCAGUAUUCUAGUCAGUGCUACCGGUUCUGAAGGCGGGGCUAAAAAUCCGUCGAAGGGCACAUCGAUGAAGUUCCUGGUACCGGCUGCUGACGCCCAGUCGGGGGUCGGUGCUGGGAGUAAGGAACAGGGGGCGAUCCACAAUGGCAUGUGGGCGAUGACCCUCUCUCCGUGGAGACCUAUAAGCCAAUUGAAUUGUGCUUGUAGGAUAAACCUGCAGUGCGGUUCGGUAUCAUUGGGAGCUGCAUGCAGCGUAGCCUGCCUUGAGUGGGAUAUGGUGGAUAAUAGGUUUCAGGUAUGGAUGCUGAUGGGGCCCACGGCAAUCAUAUUACUGCUAUUCGAAACCUAUGCUGCAAAAGAGGCUAAGGCCCGGUGUGACUGUUGAGGAAAUCUCCUAGACUGUUCUAUUUGAGGCAUACUGAGGAUUACAGUGCGGACUAAGUGGCAAUCUAGUCUUACCUUUGGCGACAGGGUAAAAACGGAAUUGAAGGGAAACCGCUGAUUUGGCGACAGACCAGUAGCCGUUUGGGAAAGCCAACUAGACCUAAGCCGCAAGAUUUACUCAGUGGGCUGCCACCCAUUUAAAAAUCAUA